rnacentral:rRNA from 1 species
UCAAAUGUUUUUCGCAUAGGGUGGACUCCUAGGCAUCUAGAGAAGAUGAAGGGCGUUAAGUGUUUGCGAAAAGCUUAGUAUGUAAUUAAUACAUUGUUUUUUAUGUUUAAUGAUCACUAAGAUUCCCGAAUGGGGAAACCCAAAAAAGAUUAUUUUUAAUUUUUUUUAUUUUCUUCUGAAUUCAUAAAGAAGAAAAAUAUAACUCAGUGAACUGAACCAUCUUAGUAACUGAAGGAAAAGAAAGCAAAAGCGAUUUUCUUAGUAGUGGUGAGCGAAAAGGAAAAAGUCUUGAGAGUGAAAUAUUUCUUUUUUAAAUGAAAUAAUUUAAUAUUAUACCAUAGAUGGUAAAAGUCCAGUAAUUGAAAAAAAGAAAACAUAAUGAACUCUCUUUAUAUUAUUUUCAUGGUAAUAUAAAAAAAGUAGCAUGGUAGUUACCCCUUGUGAAGAAGUAAGAACCACCUUAUAAGACUAAAUACUCCUAGAUGACCGAUAGUGAACAAGUACCGUGAGGGAAAGGUGAAAAGUAAUCGUAGAAGAUAAUGAAAUAGUAACGAAACCCUAUGCUUUCAAUCAGUGGGAGAUUUUUUAAAAUUGACCGCGUGCCUGUUGAAGAAUGAGCCAGCGAGUUAAAAAAAGUGGCUUUUGGUUAAAGAGUCAUCUCUGAAGCCCUAGCGAAAGCAAGUUUUAUCCGAGCUCUUGUCAUUUUUUUUAGACCCGAAACCGAGUGAUCUACCUAUGACCAGGGGAAAUAGGCCCGAACCGACUAAUAGUGCAAAAUUAGCGGAUGAGUUGUGGGUAGGGGCGAAAAACCAAUCGAACUCGGAGUUAGCUGGUUCUCCCCGAAAUGCGUUUAGGCGCAGCAAUAAAAUAAAGUAAUGAAGGGGUAAAGCACUGUUUCAUUUGGGGGCUUCGAAAGUUGUACCUCGGUGUGGCAAACUCUGAAUACUUCGUUAAUAUUUUUUAUUAGUGAGACUUUGGGGGAUAAGCUCCAUAGUCAAAAGGGGAACAGCCCAGACCACCAGUUAAGGCCCCAAAAUGAGAAUGCUAGUGACAAAGGUCGUGAAUCUGCCAUAACUUCCAGGAGGUUCGCUUAGAAGCAGCAGUCCUUUAAAGAGUGCGUAACAGCUCACUGAUUAUUUGAAGACUUUUUGGCUUCAUUUUUGUUAUAAUAUGUAUUAGUUUUAGUAUAAUAAAAUUAAUAUGUAUAAAGUAUAUCUAUAAAUAUAGAUAGAAAUUACAGCGUUUUUGCGUCGAUAAUUCACGGGACUUAAUUUUCUGCCGAAACUGUGGGAAUAAGAAAAACAAACAAAAGUCUUAUUCGGUAGGGGAGCGUUCUGCUAUUUUUAGCAGAAGUGAGAAUGUUGGCUUAAGUAACGAAAACAUUGGUGAGAAUCCAAUGCCCCGAAACCCCAAGGUUUCCUCCAAUAAGGUUCGUCCGUGGAGGGUUAGUCAAGACCUAAGAUUAGGCUGAAAGGCGUCAUCGAUGGAAAAAAAGUUAAUAUUCUUUUACUUUUUCUAGUAAUAUGUAAAAAAGAGGGACGGAGCAAAAAAAAUAAUUAAUGGAUUUUAUUUUGUUUUAUUUUUUUAGUUUGCAACUUAUAUUUUUUGAAAAAAAACAAAGAAUAUGAACAAAGAUUUCUGCUAAAAAAUGGAUUAAAAAAAAAAUAAUUUCUUACUUUCUUUUAAGUAUAGAAUGUUAUUUUUUGUUUUAUUUUUUAGAUAUUGAGUUAAAUAUAAAAAUGCUUCCAAGAAAAGCUCUUAAUUUUGCGAAAUAAUUUAAUUAUUAUUAUUAAAUUAUUUAAUUACAGAAAAACUUGUACCAGAAACCGACACAGGUGGGGAAGUAGAAUAUACUAAGGGGCGCGAGAUAAUUCUCUUUAAGGAACUCGGCAAAAUAGCUCUGUAACUUUGGAAGAAAGAGUGCCUCAAUUGAGGCCGCAGUGAAGAGGCUCGACCAACUGUUUACCAAAAACACAGGUUUCCGCCAAGUCGUAAAGACGAUGUAUGGGAGCUGACGCCUGCCCAGUGCCAGUUGGUUAAUUAUACAGGUUAGAAUUAAUUUAUUUUUCGAAGCUUGUAGACAAAGCCUUGGUGAACGGCGGCUGUAACUAUGACAGUCCUAAGGUAGCGAAAUUCCUUGUCAGGUAAGUUCUGACCCGCACGAAUGGCGUAAUGAGUCGAGCACUGUCUCAAAGAGAAACUCGGUGAACUAGACAUAUCCGUGAAGAUGCGGAUUACUUACACCAGGACAAUAAGACCCUAGAAGCUUUACUAUAGUCUGAAAUUGUACGAUCUUCUGAAAUAUGCAGGUAUGUGGGAGACAAUAAACUUGAAAAAGGAUGUCGUAAGUGAGAGACCACUUUUUUCUAUGAGAAAGUUCUGAAAAUAUUCCUUGAAUCAGGGUAUUUGACAGUUUUUGACGGGUAGUUUACCUGGGGUAGGUGCCUCCUAAAAGGUAACGGAGGUAUACAAAGAUUCUCUUAAGUUGUUUGGAAAUCAACUGAUCAAGUAUAAAGGCAUAAGUGAAUUUGACUAUAAGACUGAAACGUCGAAUAGGGGCGAAAGCCUGUCUUAAUGAUCCGAUAGUACUGUGUGGAAAGGCUAUCGCUCAAUUGAUAAAAGUUACUCUAGGGAUAACAGGCUGAUCUUCCCCAAGAGUCCAUAUCGACGGGAAGGUUUGGCACCUCGAUGUCGGCUCAUCGCAUCCUGGGGCGGUAGGAGGUCCCAAGGGUUGGGCUGUUCGCCCAUUAAAGCGGUACGUGAGCUGGGUUUAGAACGUCGCAAGACAGUUUGGUUCAUAUCCGGUGUGAGCGUUAGAGCAUUGAGAGAAGUCUUUGAUAGUACGAGAGGACUUCAAAGGACAUACCUCUAGUGUACCAGUUCUUAUGCCAAUAGGAUACGCUGGGUAGCUACGUAUGGAGUCAAUAAUCACUGAAUGCAUUUAAGUGAGAAGUGGGCCUCAAGAUGAAUGCUCUCAAAAAGGUUACGGAAAGAAAAACCGGUAAAUAGGUGUUAUGUGUAAGAUCCGUGAUGAUUUAAGCUGAGACAUACUAAACAACCGAGAGAUUUUGAUCC